UACGUAGGGACCAAGCGUUGUUCGGAUUUACUGGGCGUAAAGGGCGCGUAGGCGGCAAUUCAAGUCAUCUGUGAAAAUCUCCGGGGCUUAACCCCGGAACGGUCAGGUGAUACUGUUUUUGCUAGAGUGCGGAAGGGGCAAUCGGAAUUCUCGGUGUAGCGGUGAAAUGCGUAGAUAUCGAGAGGAACACCAGAGGUGAAGACGGGUUGCUGGGGCCGACACUGACGCUGACAGCGCGAAAAGCCAGGGGGAGCAAACGGG
rnacentral:rRNA from 1 species